GCUAGGUGUGGAAACAGGAAGAGAACUAGAACUGGAAGUAAAGCAUUGAAGAUGUGACUGAAUUGCUGCAAUCUCAUGAUCAAAUUUGAAUGGAUGAGGAGUUGCUUUUUAGGGAUGAGCAAAGAAAGUGGUUUCUCGAGAUGGAAUCUACUGGUGAAGUUGCUGUGAACAUUGUUAAAAUGCCAAUAAAGGAUUUAGGAAUUACAGAAACCUGGUUGAUAAAGCAGUGCCAGGGUGUGAGAGAGUUGACUUCAAUUUUGAAAUAAGUUCCACUGGCUGGGUGUGGUGGCUCACACCUGCAAUCCCAGUACUUUAGGAGGCCGAGACUGGUAGAUCAUUUGAGGUCAGGAGUUCAAGACCAGCCUUGCCAACAUGGUGAAACCCCACCUCUACCAAAUUAGCCAGGUUGCUCCUUGAGGGCAGGACAGUUCUUAUGGCUUUAUCCGUUGCGUAAGCACAGAGAGGUCUGCGAGGUCAAAACUAUUGUCAUGAUAGCAAGAUGCCUGUCUUUUUCAUUUAUUCUCACGGUGUGCAGAGGCUACAUGAUGUGUGAUGACAUCCUCAUUGAUGUUAAUGAAUGGUGCUAUACUUGAAUUUUCUAAGGUGUCAUUAGGUAGGUUUAGCAAUUCUCCUGCCUCAGCCUCCUGCAUAACUGGGACUACAGGGAAGCACCAUUUUCCACAAAACUCUCAAGAAGGACUUGUUGCAACUGGAAAAGCAAUUAAAUGUGAAUCGUGAUCCAGGAGAAAGUAACAACUCACAUAACUCCCAAAUUAAAAGUUUUCCAAAGAUA
rnacentral:lncRNA from 1 species